rnacentral:rRNA from 1 species
GACGAACGCUGGCGGCGUGCCUAAUACAUGCAAGUAGAACGCACAGUUUAUACCGUAGCUUGCUACACCAUAGACUGUGAGUUGCGAACGGGUGAGUAACGCGUAGGUAACCUGCCUGGUAGCGGGGGAUAACUAUUGGAAACGAUAGCUAAUACCGCAUAAUAUUAAUUAUUGCAUGAUAAUUAAUUGAAAGGUGCAAUUGCACCACUACCAGAUGGACCUGCGUUGUAUUAGCUAGUAGGUGAGGUAACGGCUCACCUAGGCGACGAUACAUAGCCGACGUGAGAGGGGGGGCGCCCACACUGGGACUGACACGCGCCCAAGACCCAGAGGGGGGGAACAAGGAGGGAUUCUUGAGCAAGGGACGAAAGUCGGACCGAGCAACGCGGGGUGAGGAAAGAGGGUUUUGGGAUGAAAAAACUCUGUUGAAAGAAAAGAAGGGGUGGGGGAGGGAAAAGUACACACGGUGAGGGUAUUUAACCAAAAAGGGACGCAUAACUACGC